UAAUACAGAGGGGGCAAGCGUUAUUCGGAAUUAUUGGGCGUAAAGGGCGCGUAGGCGGCUAUUCAAGUGGCGGGUGAAAUCCCUCGGCUUAACCGAGGAACUGCCUGCCAGACUGGAUGGCUUGAGACCGGGAGAGGUGAGUGGAAUUCCCGGUGUAGCGGUGAAAUGCGUAGAUAUUGGGAGGAACACCAGUGGCGAAGGCGGCUCACUGGACCGGAACUGACGCUGAGGCGCGAAAGCGUGGGGAGCAAACA
rnacentral:rRNA from 1 species